rnacentral:lncRNA from 1 species
CACAAGCCAAUACUUCGGAACAGUAAGUUUUAAUAUGCCAAAGGACAGUCUGCUUGUGGGUCCCUCCCUCAUUUUAUCGAGGGCGUCAAAGUCUGGCGAAGCGACCGUCUCCAGUUCUUCGCCAUGGGCAGCCUCAGGCUCAGGGACGAGUUCUGGAGCGGCCUCAGGGAUGAGUUCUGGAGCAACUGGAUUAGAUGAAGUUGUUGUUGGCUCGUCAAAUUUUGCUUGUUUGAAAUCGGGCUCGAAUGAAGGGUCUUCCUUCCUUUCUCGUUCCUUGAGUGAGGAGAAUGAACCUCUUCAGUGAAUAGAUAAUAAGAUAAAAAACCCAAAAGGGCAGUCAUCGUAUAAAGAGUAAGAUCAAGUAUCAUAUACAAUGCACGUUGUUCUGUAUCUAAUGAAGGCUGGCAGUUGCACCAGUGACGUAGCCAAUGAUUCAUGUACCAUGCAACCAAACCAUGGGGAUUUUCUUCUGGGCUGCAGAAGGUCCUAACUGGAGGGGGGUAAAAUGAUUCAUGUACCAUGCAACCAAACCAUGGGGAUUUUCUUCUGGGCUGCAGAAGGUCCUAACUGGAGGGGGGUAAAAUGAUCUCCACUUUUGUAUGAUGUAGCUUCCUCAUGCAUGUCUUUUUCAGAAGCUAUUCUAUGGAGGAAUUUGAUGGAUGUAAUACAAUUAAUAUUUAAAGAACUGGUUAAUAACUGAAAAAAGGAAGUCCUCUGAAAAACUUAAGACUGGUGAGAGAGUAAAUGUGACUAUGCUCUAGAAAGCAUCGCCUGUUUAAACUAUUCCAUGCAGUUUGAUUAACUGAACAAAUAUUAAUAAUUUACUUUGUUUGAGUAAACACUUUUCUCUAGUAUUAUCAAACUACCUAACAAGAAAAGGGAUUUUUUUCUUUUAUAACAUAAGGAAAAACUGAUUGCAAAUAUUUUAACGCGAUUUAUCUAUGGUGCCAUAAACAAUACUUUCUCCUUCAUUAAAAUUACACAUGUUGCACAUUGAAACAACUAACCCCUAUAUUAACUUCUAUAAUAAUCAAGGUGUUCGGAAAAAAAAAAUCUCCAUAAUGGCGACCAUCAUGAAGUAGUGCCCAUGAGUGGAAGGCCCACAAUACAAUACAUUUAGUUAAUUCCUAUUUCCAUGUUAUUGGAGCUUAAUUACAAGGCUAACACCCCCCGCGAACCACAGUCUCCACAGAUGCAUGCUUUAGUGACACCACAUUAUGAAGCCUUCUUUGGAAUCCAGCACCCAUGCAGCCCAUAAGGAAGUCCAUAUGGGAACUUGGCACGUGCGAUUUCCUCGAAGGUGGACCCAUCGAGUACCAGUGCAUAACCUCCACCAUUUUUAUCACUGACCAUUGAUAUCACCACACCUGUGAAUUGAUCAAAACCUUGUUCAUUCUGGCUUUUUUCCAAAAGUCCCUUGAAUUAGCUACUAAUAGGCCAAUGAACAACUAUAACAACUACAUAGGUAACAUUUAACUCACCAUCAUCCUCCUCAGUAGCCCCAGGUCUGGCUACAAAAAAAGGCUCUGAAGGCACUCCACCCU